GCGCCGUUGGUCUAGUGGUAGAAUAUGUGCUUGCCAUGCACGUGGUCUGGGUUCGAUUCCCGGACGGUGCA
rnacentral:tRNA from 1 species